rnacentral:rRNA from 1 species
UACAGAGGUGGCAAGCGUUGUUCGGAAUUACUGGGCGUAAAGGGCGCGUAGGCGGCCAUCUAAGUCAGACGUGAAAUCCCCCGGCUUAACCUGGGAACUGCGUCUGAUACUGGACGGCUUGAGUAUGGGAGAGGGAUGUAGAAUUCCAGGUGUAGCGGUGAAAUGCGUAGAUAUCUGGAGGAAUACCGGUGGCGAAGGCGGCAUCCUGGACCGACACUGACGCUGAUGCGCGAAAGCCAGGGGAGCAAACGGG